rnacentral:lncRNA from 1 species
CUUUCAUUAUAAACAUGUAUAACUAUAUUUUCGAAAUCAGCUUAGGUUAUUUUUUUAUAUGCCGCUUUUAAACAAACAUUUAAGUUUUCAUUUAAAAUUAUGUGAUUUACAUAUAAGAAGCUUGACUGCUUACCUAUAAAAAUAUAUUUUGUAAACGUAUCCUUUUAAACUACUAGAGUAAUUGACCCUGUGGGGAUUAUUGUUGAAGCCGUUACCGUCAAUUUAAUUUAUGAAUUGUCCUAUAUAUGUUUUGUAAUGUUUGGUUGUUGGGUUUGCUCUGGUAUCUUCUUUCCCCCG